AUUGAACGCUGGCGGCAGGCUUAACACAUGCAAGUCGAGCGGUAACAGAUCUAGCUUGCUAGAUGCUGACGAGCGGCGGACGGGUGAGUAACGCGUAGGAACCUGCCCAAUAGUGGGGGAUAGCCCGGUGAAAACCGGAUUAAUACCGCAUACGCUCUACGGAGGAAAGGGGGCUUCGGCUCUCGCUAUUGGAUGGGCCUGCGUGAGAUUAGCUAGUUGGUGAGGUAAUGGCUCACCAAGGCGACGAUCUCUAGCUGGUCUGAGAGGAUGAUCAGCCACACUGGGACUGAGACACGGCCCAG
rnacentral:rRNA from 1 species